rnacentral:sRNA from 2 species
CUGGGGCAACUGAAUACCAGGCUCUUGAUACAAGAGGUUGGCUGCGGCCAGCAGGCCUAUUCAACAGUGGAGAAGAGAUUUAGAUGACCGGGUCCUGUGCUGUCAUAAAGCCAGCAUUGGGAGGGAAACGGUCAUUUUUAAAGGUCAUGAUGCCACAAUUAUCUAUCGCCUCUGAGGCUUGUACUUGAUCAAUGGCUUGAAAUAAAUCUUGCAUUGCAGCUGCAGCAUUUCCUUGUGGUCUCCUCGUGGUACCUGUUUUCGCCUUGCGAGUGCUCUUUCUCCUCCACGAAAUUGAGCAUUGGAGCGG